rnacentral:rRNA from 1 species
UACGUAGGCGGAAUAUUAAGUCAGUGGUGAAAUCCUGCGGCUCAACCGUAGAACUGCCAUUGAUACUGAUAUUCUUGAAUGUAGUUGAGGUAGGCGGAAUGUGUAAUGUAGCGGUGAAAUGCUUAGAUAUUACACAGAACACCGAUUGCGAAGGCAGCUUACUAAACUAUGGUUGACGCUGAGGUACGAAAGCGUGGGGAGCGAACAGGAUUAGAUACCCUGGUAGUCC